UCCCUGGUGGCUUAGCUGGUAAAGCAUCUGCCUGCAAUGCAGGAGACCUGGGAUCAAGCCCUGGGUUGGGAA
rnacentral:tRNA from 1 species